UACGAAGGGGGCUAGCGUUGUUCGGAAUUACUGGGCGUAAAGCGCACGUAGGCGGAUAUUUAAGUUAGGGGUGAAAUCCCAGGGCUCAACCCUGGAACUGCCUCUAAUACUGGGUAUCUCGAGUCCGAGAGAGGUGAGUGGAAUUCCGAGUGUAGAGGUGAAAUUCGUAGAUAUUCGGAGGAACACCAGUGGCGAAGGCGGCUCACUGGCUCGGUACUGACGCUGAGGUGCGAAAGCGUGGGGAGCAAACAGG
rnacentral:rRNA from 1 species